rnacentral:rRNA from 1 species
UACAGAGGGUGCGAGCGUUAAUCGGAUUUACUGGGCGUAAAGCGUGCGUAGGCGGCUAUUUAAGUCGGAUGUGAAAGCCCCGGGCUCAACCUGGGAGGUGCAUCCGAUACUGGGUAGCUAGAGUGUAGUAGAGGGAGGUGGAAUUUCCGGUGUAGCGGUGAAAUGCGUAGAGAUCGGAAGGAACACCAGUGGCGAAGGCGGCUCACUGGACCGUAACUGACGCUCAUGCACGAUAGCGUGGGGAGCAAACAGG